UCAAGAGUUUGAUCCUGGCUCAGGACGAACGCUGGCGGCAUGCUUAACACAUGCAAGUCGAACGGACUGAUUCCCUUCGGGGAUGAAAGUUAGUGGCGAACGGGUGAGUAAUGUAUGAGCAACCUGCCUCUGUCAACGGGAUAACAGUCGGAAACGACUGCUAAUACGGUAUAUGACCACGGCACCGCAUGGUGCAGCGGUAAAAGAUUUUAUCGGACAGAGAUGGGCUCAUAUCCCAUUAGGUAGUUGGUGAGAUAACAGCCCACCAAGCCGACGAUGGGUAGCCGAGCUGAGAGGCUGAUCGGCCACAUUGGGACUGA
rnacentral:rRNA from 1 species